UACGUAGGGGGGCAAGCGUUGUUCGGAAUUACUGGGCGUAAAGGGCGCGUAGGCGGCACGGCAAGUCAGGAGUGAAAGCCCUGGGCUCAACCCGGGAACUGCUUUGAAACUGCCGAGCUAGAGUGCGGAAGGGGCAACUGGAAUUCCCAGUGUAGCGGUGAAAUGCGUAGAUAUCAGGAGGAACACCGGUGGCGAAGGCGGUUCUCUGGGAAUGUCCUGACGCUGAGGCGCGAAAGCGUGGGGAGCAAACAGG
rnacentral:rRNA from 1 species